rnacentral:tRNA from 1 species
AUUUUUAUAGUAAAUUCAUUACUUAACAUUUUCAUUGUUAAAUUGUUUUCUAAACUAAAAAUU